CGCUGUGUGUGUGUUUGUGUGUGUAUGUGUGUGUGUGUUUGUCUCUGCACGUGUGCAUCUGUGCAAGUGUUACAGCAGAAUGAAGAACGGUGAGUUAUCUCUUCGAACUGGAUCUACCUCACUGGCUUAUUUAAGUUAGACCACACAACAUUGUGACAACAAUUGCAUCUUCGAUGUCUUGCAUGACCGAAAAGAGCAUCCUGAAACUGGGGAGGGAUCAGCAGGACCUGACGCAACUGAGGAACACAAAAAUGUUGCAAUGUCCAGAUUGCAUUGAGCAUCUACAUUGGGUUUGGGGAGUUCUGGACUUUGCAUGUUGGGACAGUAUAUUGCAUAUUGGAACAAUGUAUGAAAAGUUGUGAUUGAUCGUGUGAGUGUUUUUACAGUAUAUGGAGUAACUCAAUUCACUGUGAUGAAUACUCUUACUAUCACUUCACAAUACAUCAGUCAGGAUUCAGUGUUCUGUGCACUGGGGAAGAAAUUGCAGGAGCGAUUAAUUUUCUACCCCCACCAGUGAGAAAGCUCGCUCAAUCAAACACCAACCAGAUUCUCAGGUGCUGACUGUGCUUUGAAAGAACAUUGCAUCGAUAUUUCGAAUGGAAAACAAGAACACAAUCCUGAGGAGAAAACAUUUCCAAACAAUAACAGGAAACAUCACAGUUCAUCUCAAGGAGAUUUUCUUGACUCUUAUCCUGAUCUUGACCUUGUUGAAGAGAAACGUGUCAUUGCUUGAUUGAUUUGGUUUGUUUUGCAAUAAAUGUCUGCUUGGGUAUGUCUGCUAUGUACUCCCUCAGAGAUGACAAAUUAUGUUGCUGUUUGCACAUGAAUUAAAAGUUAUAUGUAAUUGUAGAAUGUUUCAUUUGGGUAUG